UGGCGGACGGGUGAGUAACGCGCGGGGGAACCUGCCCUGUACAGGGGGAUAACACUUAGAAAUAGGUGCUAAUACCGCAUAAGCGCACAGUAUCGCAUGAUACAGUGUGAAAAACUCCGGUGGUACAGGAUGGACCCGCGUCUGAUUAGCUGGUUGGCGGGGUAACGGCCCACCAAGGCGACGAUCAGUAGCCGGCCUGAGAGGGUGAACGGCCACAUUGGGACUGAGACACGGCCCAAACUCCUACGGAAGGCAGCAG
rnacentral:rRNA from 1 species